rnacentral:rRNA from 1 species
GGCUCAGGAUGAACGCUGGCGGCGUGCCUAAUACAUGCAAGUCGAGCGAACGGACGAGAAGCUUGCUUCUCUGAUGUUAGCGGCGGACGGGUGAGUAACACGUGGAUAACCUACCUAUAAGACUGGGAUAACUUCGGGAAACCGGAGCUAAUACCGGAUAAUAUUUUGAACCGCAUGGUUCAAAAGUGAAAGACGGUCUUGCUGUCACUUAUAGAUGGAUCCGCGCUGCAUUAGCUAGUUGGUAAGGUAACGGCUUACCAAGGCAACGAUGCAUAGCCGACCUGAGAGGGUGAUCGGCCACACUGGAACUGAGACACGGUCCAGACUCCUACGGGAGGCAGCAGUAGGGAAUCUUCCGCAAUGGGCGAAAGCCUGACGGAGCAACGCCGCGUGAGUGAUGAAGGUCUUCGGAUCGUAAAACUCUGUUAUUAGGGAAGAACAUAUGUGUAAGUAACUGUGCACAUCUUGACGGUACCUAAUCAGAAAGCCACGGCUAACUACGUGCCAGCAGCCGCGGUAAUACGUAGGUGGCAAGCGUUAUCCGGAAUUAUUGGGCGUAAAGCGCGCGUAGGCGGUUUUUUAAGUCUGAUGUGAAAGCCCACGGCUCAACCGUGGAGGGUCAUUGGAAACUGGAAAACUUGAGUGCAGAAGAGGAAAGUGGAAUUCCAUGUGUAGCGGUGAAAUGCGCAGAGAUAUGGAGGAACACCAGUGGCGAAGGCGACUUUCUGGUCUGUAACUGACGCUGAUGUGCGAAAGCGUGGGGAUCAAACAGGAUUAGAUACCCUGGUAGUCCACGCCGUAAACGAUGAGUGCUAAGUGUUAGGGGGUUUCCGCCCCUUAGUGCUGC